UACGUAGGGUGCAAGCGUUGUUCGGAUUUACUGGGCGUAAAGGGCGGGUAGGCGGCCACCGCAAGUCAGUUGUGAAAUCUCCGGGCUUAACCCGGAAAGGUCAACUGAUACUGCGGGGCUAGAGUGCAGAAGGGGCAACUGGAAUUCUCGGUGUAGCGGUGAAAUGCGUAGAUAUCGAGAGGAACACCUGCGGCGAAGGCGGGUUGCUGGGCUGACACUGACGCUGAACUGCGAAAGCUAGGGGAGCGAACGGG
rnacentral:rRNA from 1 species